CAUUCGUUGAUAAUGGAGACUACUUGGCAAGCAAAACUCAGUUUGCACAUAACGCGAGAGUUUGAAUACAGAUGUCAGCAAUACUACACAAUGGAGGGUGAACCAUACAAAACAUGCAAGAAUGGUAACUGGACUGGAGAGAUGAGAUGUCUCAAACCCUGCACUGUCAGUCAAUAUGACUUGAAUGACAAUAACAUUGAUUUCAGAAGAGGAGAAUUAAAUAAACUAUAUUCACUACAUGGUGAUCACAUGACAUUCAAAUGUAAAUAUGGAUUUGAACGUGUCGGUGAUGUACUAAUGCGUCAGAGGUGUAAUGAUGGUGAGAUGACCCUGCCCAUCUGCCAGAGACGUCAGUGACUUCAUCUUAAUUAAAAUGUGCAGCAAAACCAACAGCAAAGCAUAAUCUGAUUCACUGCUGUGUGUGGUCAUUCUAAUAAAAUCAUAUGUGCUGAA